GAUGAACGCUGGCGGCGUGCCUAAUACAUGCAAGUCGAGCGAACGGACGAGAAGCUUGCUUCUCUGAUGUUAGCGGCGGACGGGUGAGUAACACGUGGAUAACCUACCUAUAAGACUGGGAUAACUUCGGGAAACCGGAGCUAAUACCGGAUAAUAUUUUGAACCGCAUUGUUCAAAAGUGAAAGACGGUCUUGCUGUCACUUAUAGAUGGAUCCGCGCUGCAUUAGCUAGUUGGUAAGGUAACGGCUUACCAAGGCAACGAUGCAUAGCCGACCUGAGAGGGUGAUCGGCCACACUGGAACUGAGACACGGUCCAGACUCCUACGGGAGGCAGCAGUAGGGAAUCUUCCGCAAUGGGCGAAAGCCUGACGGAGCAACGCCGCGUGAGUGAUGAAGGUCUUCGGAUCGUAAAACUCUGUUAUUAGGGAAGAACAUAUGUGUAAGUAACUGUGCACAUCUUGACGGUAACUAAUCAGAAAGCCACGGCUAACUACGUG
rnacentral:rRNA from 1 species